ACCUGCUCUCAUUUAAGUCAAUGUGAGUUUUAUCAUUGACUUAAUUGGAAGUGAGAUU
rnacentral:pre_miRNA from 1 species